GCAAAAUGAGAGAAAUUGAGGUUUUGAAUAAAAACCUUCCAAAAUUCGUAAAGAGAGCUAGAGACCUCCAAAUCACUCCGUUCCAAAGCCAAACUUGUGAGAAAUUUCGAGAGGAAUCCAUUGGUACCAGUAUUUCUGGGUGGGUUUCACUGUAGAGAGAGAUCUUCAUCAUCUAAGAUUUCGAAUUUCAUGGAUAAUGGUGAUUUUGAUGGAGCUUGAGGCCAUGGGAGCUUAGAUACUCAUCUCUCCUUUGUUUUAGAGUGCAUUGUGGUGUACCUACUGUGAACGUUUGGAUUCUCGUGGAGCAUGAUAAGUAGCUUGCUCUUCAAGUAAGCAAACUGUAAAGCUCCAAGAGGAAGUGAGCCCAAGGUAUGGAGGGUUUUCCAUAAACCUGGAGUUUACUAGAGAUUCGUCUCUAACCCCGUUUGGGGAUAUGAUUUCAGGAACACAGUGAAUUGAAGAGCCUCAUGGGACCAGGACACUAACUGUGGCUAGAGGUACUAGUAUGAGGAUGUGGAGUUUUGGGUGGUCGGAUGCUACUAUUUGUUUUAGACGUAUUUUUGGAAAAGAUGUAUUGUUGCAUAGUGUUCAUAUUCGAUACAUGUACAUUUAUGUAUUCAGGCAUGAAGAUAUGACUAUGUAGUAUUCAGUUAGGUUAUGUAUUGGAUUGCAUGCUAUUAGAUUUGUGGCACGGAGCCAAGUUCAGCA